UACGAAGGGGACUAGCGUUGUUCGGAAUUACUGGGCGUAAAGCGCACGUAGGCGGAUUUGUUAGUCAGGGGUGAAAUCCCGGGGCUCAACCUCGGAACUGCCUUUGAUACUGCAAAUCUCGAGUCCGAUAGAGGUGGGUGGAAUUCCUAGUGUAGAGGUGAAAUUCGUAGAUAUUCGCAAGAACACCAGUGGCGAAGGCGGCUCACUGGCCCGGUACUGACGCUGAGGCGCGAAAGCCAGGGGAGCCGGAACGGGAUUAAGAUGACCCUGGUAGUCC
rnacentral:rRNA from 1 species